rnacentral:rRNA from 1 species
GUUUGAUUCCUGGCUCAGGACGAACGCUGGCGGCGUGCUUAACACAUGCAAGUCGAACGAUGAUGCCCAGCUUGCUGGGCGGAUUAGUGGCGAACGGGUGAGUAAUACGUGAGUAACCUGCCCUUGACUCUGGGAUAAGCCUGGGAAACUGGGUCUAAUACUGGAUACUACCGUCCACCGCAUGGUGGGUGGUGGAAAGGGUUUUACUGGUUUUGGAUGGGCUCACGGCCUAUCAGCUUGUUGGUGGGGUAAUGGCUCACCAAGGCGACGACGGGUAGCCGGCCUGAGAGGGUGACCGGCCACACUGGGACUGAGACACGGCCCAGACUCCUACGGGAGGCAGCAGUGGGGAAUAUUGCACAAUGGGCGGAAGCCUGAUGCAGCGACGCCGCGUGAGGGAUGACGGCCUUCGGGUUGUAAACCUCUUUCAGUAGGGAAGAAGCGAGAGUGACGGUACCUGCAGAAGAAGCGCCGGCUAACUACGUGCCAGCAGCCGCGGUAAUACGUAGGGCGCAAGCGUUGUCCGGAAUUAUUGGGCGUAAAGAGCUCGUAGGCGGUUUGUCGCGUCUGCUGUGAAAGCCCGGGGCUCAACCCCGGGUCUGCAGUGGGUACGGGCAGACUAGAGUGCAGUAGGGGAGACUGGAAUUCCUGGUGUAGCGGUGAAAUGCGCAGAUAUCAGGAGGAACACCGAUGGCGAAGGCAGGUCUCUGGGCUGUUACUGACGCUGAGGAGCGAAAGCAUGGGGAGCGAACAGGAUUAGAUACCCUGGUAGUCCAUGCCGUAAACGUUGGGCACUAGGUGUGGGGGACAUUCCACGUUUUCCGCGCCGUAGCUAACGCAUUAAGUGCCCCGCCUGGAGACGCCCCCC